GAACGACUCUCGGCAACGGAUAUCUCGGCUCUCGCAUCGAUGAAGAACGUAGCGAAAUGCGAUACUUGGUGUGAAUUGCAGAAUCCCGUGAACCAUCGAGUCUUUGAACGCAAGUUGCGCCCGAAGCCGUUAGGCCGAGGGCACGUCUGCAUGGGCG
rnacentral:rRNA from 1 species